GGCCCGGGGCACGGCGGCUCCCAGGGACCGUCUGCUGGCAAAAUCGGAAGGAACGCUGACGUUGUUCUUAGCUGAACACCAUUAAAAUGCUCCUCUGGUAUCUCUCAAUAGAGGUGAAAAGCAUUUCAGCUUCCUGGAAAUGGCCGAAAGAGGCGACGUGUAGAUCAAAGUACGGCGCAAAGCUGGGUUCGUGUUUGCAGGGGUUUUUGAACUGUAGUGAAAACGUUUCUGCAGCUUGCAUCGUAAUGAGUUAAAGUCAGCACGUGAAGCGACUAAAAAAGGCAUAUUUAAACAGCAUCGGGCUAUUAACUUUCCUGGGAUUUAAGAUUUAUGUUCAAAUAUAUAUUUGGCUGUUAGCAAUACCAGCAUUUAAACAGUAACGUUGAUCUGUUCAACCCUGAAGCAAACCAGCUCUGCCUAACGCAGCUUUGAAGCAACACAGCCAGACCAUAAUACUGUGGGAGCUUAGACAGCUUUGUCUGUACUUGCAUCUCUCUGCAUAUUUUUCCAGGACUCUGAUCUUUGUCUGCGAUUAAUCAUUGUCCAGGACGGCUGUUCCCGGUGGUAGAAUCCAUGAAGUGCUCCAGCUGGGAGAGGUCCUAACGCGUGUGCCUGGCGCUGCGUACGUGCAAACCAGGGCCAGAAAUUGCUGGGGCAGCAGGCGCUGGACAGCGAGCCUGCCGUGCCGCCCCAGUGAGUUGUGUGGGUCCUCAGCACUUCUGGAAGUUGUUUUUAUCUGGAUGCAGAAGAGCAUCUGAUGGUGACUAAUUUAAUACAGAUCUGUAGCAGAGCCCUGAUCUCUGUCAGCCACGAGCAAGGCUGUGCCUCACUCCUGAACCUGGUGUUUCUGCCUGUUCCCAUGGCAAAACCAAGCCCAGCUCCCAAGGCAAACACAACUGCAGAUCACACCUGAAACGAGGAGUUCUGAAUCCCUCUCCCUCUGUGAAACAUCCAGAUUGCCUUCCCAGCCCAGAGGCAGGGGAUGAGAUUGCUGUGAUAGCUCUGCCAGCCUGUGGUGACAAAUUCCUGCCUGUGGCUUGAGGAAGCCAUGCCAACACAUCUGGGAGACACAUCCCCAGAUCCGUGGGGGCAGAGCUGUGGAGGUGUUGGCAGACACUUCCCUGUUCAUUUCAUGCUUUUCAGAGAUCACUCAUUGUGUUUGAUGUUCCAGAAAGGUAUAGGAUGAUUCUAACCUUGUGUUACCCAUUUUUCACAACAGAAUUUGGCUUGAAAAUUCAUGCUUUAGUGAUCAACAGAAACUUGAAACUGCCUCUAAGCAGUUGUAUCAGGAUGAGAUGUUACCAUGUUGAUUUACUUCAGGUUUGUGAAAUGGAGUGGUUUUUCCCCCACAGCUGCAAAGCCAAGAACUCAGUUUCUAAUGAAAGGUGAAAUUCAACAGACAGCAUGUUGGCCAUGUGUGUAUCAGGUAGGCCAUAUUGUGGCACCUCUGAUUAAAGAAUAACAGAGAAAAAACCCAAGAAACAGUUUGUGUUCCCUAUAAAUAGCUGCUCACCACGUAGUCAUGAGUAUGUGGUUUAUAAAUAAAGUUUAUCCAAACUACAUCAGAGUGCCUAAAUAUUCUCUGCUUGAUUUUGCUGAGUUGUGUGUCUUAAUUUGUUGCAUACCUCCCCUUGCAGACCCUUGUCCUGUUUUCUUUCCCAAGCCUCUGAACUCCCUGGUAGCAUUUGAUUCUACAUAGAGUUUAUCCAAAGAUUUCUGCACUGAUUGAGUGCAGGAGUACUUGAGCCAAGUGAAACAGGAACCAUUUCUAAGGCAUGAAAAGGCAGAAAGGAAAUUUUCUUAUUGAAAUAUAAUUUUUCCAUAUUACUUAAUAGUCUAGAAAGUUAAUGCCUUUCUGGCAGUACUUCCCACUGGGAAAAAAAUAUGGCUCCUACUCAGCCGAACAACAGUGUAAUAAUGUUUUAGGUUGGGUUAAACGUCUCAGAGACUGGCAGGUGUUGCAGCCACCUUGCCUUCAGUGAAAAAGGCAAUUGAGAGCCCUUAUGGAACAAGGGAUUUACAUCAGUAGGAGCUGCUACACAAAAAAACAGGCACAUGGCAAGGUUUGAAUAGAUGGUGAAUCAUGUGGCCCAAGGGAUUUUUCAGGGUGGGGGCACGUGUGUAAAAUAUCAGGCCAUGAGGACCAGAUGGUUGAGCUCUGCAUGUGUGAGAGGAACAGCGAGAAACACUGCAGAAAUGGAGACUGAGAAGCAGCUGAAAGUCAAGGACACUGGGGAGCUUUGAUUUUGGAUUUUGUGUGGAGGGUUUAGUGAGGGUCAGAGCAGUGUUGGCACUGUGAGCAAAAGUACAACUGAAAAACAAUUUUGUUCAUUUGUUCUGUAAACAGGAGGAAUCACCUUGAGUAAUACACAGUUGCUUUGUCAUAGGCUUCUCCUCUCACACUGAUUCUGUCUCCAGAAUUUUGUGCUGUGUGCAGGGACAGUUCAGCUCACCCACAUCAUAAUUCCCCCUUCCUUCUGUGCCCUGUCCAUACUGAAUUCUGUGGGGCAGAGGCUCUCCCUCAGUAAGAGUCUGUGUGCACGUGACAAGCAAUUGUUGUCCUUGUGCAACAUCUGAAAUUUAUCAGAGAUUCACUCGACUUACUUGGUAAAUCUCAUUCCUUAGGGUCUGUCUUUCCCAUUGUGAAUUUUUCAAGGCAUUCCUCUUGCUCAGUACAUGCUGUAGUGGGAAUUCAUAGCUGAAAACACAAAUAAUUAAUGUCACUGGUAAUAUUAAAAAAUAAAUAUUUAAGGCUCUGUCUUGUUGUACACUUUCUUAACUAAGUUUAUUAAUAUUUCCUUGAACAUAAAUGGGGUUAGUUGUUGCUAAGUUGGAGUCUUUGUAAACUGGGGUCUGUGUUAUGAAGAAAAAAAAUUAAGUGUAUUUAAAAUCAUAGUUCUGAAACAAUUAGGAAGAACAGGUCCCCAUUCUUGUCCAGUUUGUGUUUUCAAAUAAACUAACAAUAUGAAUAUGCAGCACAUGGUGUGUGCAAACAAUAUUGAACCUAAUCUGUGAGGUUUUUUUGGGGUGUUUUCAUUGCUAACCUGAAUUACCCAUCAAUACCAUCCAGAAUGUUACAGCAUCUUUUAAAAAUCACAAACUCCCAGCAGUUUUCCUAAGGUGUGCACUGUCUUUUCACUCCUUCCUAACUUUUUCCUUGGCGAUCAUGAAGCAACAAAUUGGCACCAAGAUUGGAGCACAGAUAUUUUCUAUACCCCACUAAUGCCCUGGUUUGUUGUGCUCACUGAGGAUCUCCCCACACACAGUGAACCCUGAGCUGCAGAUGUGUAAGCUUUUGAUGAAAGAACUUGUGCCAAAAUCAAUAUACAGGCCAAAACUGAACUAGAAAAGGACACGUGCAAUUAGUAAUGAUUAGAUUUUCAUUUCACUAAUAAAGGGUUAAAUCUUCUUCCAUUUAAAUCAGUGGAACAAUUCCAUUUUAGAUUUUGCUUUUUUUUUGGAGUCAGCAGAACAGGCUCAGCUUUUACCCAAACCUAAGUGAUAUGCCUGAAGCACUGCAUAGUUGUUAAUCAAAAUUAAGUACCUGAGACACUGAAAUGUUGUAUUUCAUCCAUACUAAGCUGACUCAUUACAACAUCCAUUACUUAAAGGCAGUCUGGGGUGUUUACAGUUAUAUUUGUAAUCUGCUUAUUUUAUGUUGUUUCAUCCCAAAUCUAAAGGUGUACAAAGCUAAAAGUUUCCUUAGGUAUAAAAUGUACAAGGAGACAAAGCAGUGAGAAAUGUAAAGAUUAUUUUGUGACACUUGGAAAAAAAGCCAAAAACAAAAAGAAAAAGCAAAACCCCACAAAUUAAUAAUGAACUACAAAAUACUUUUAUCCCCCCCAAAUUUCCCUUUAUGGCAAUAAUUGACUUGAAAAAAGCCCUGAAUUCUUCAGUUACAGGAAGACUGUUAACUCUUCCUGCUGAUUGUACCAUACAUAGCAUGAUACUGGGUUUGAGCCAGGUCCAAAUAAAUCAUUUCAGGAUAAAACAAAUUCUUUCCUAGCCCAUCCAUUCCUGUGCCAUUGGAAUGCUCUCAGCUAUUACAGUGGACAGCAGCUGAUGGCUUUUCCUGUGUUCCAGAUAAGAUUUAUAAGACUGUGCCUCGUAAAGCAUUUUUUGACAAUUUCUAUGUGCUUGCAUCAACUUUUUCCUCAGUAAAACGAUGAAUUUUAAAUA